UCUACAACAUUAACCAUAAACUAAGUAGCAUAUAAAGCUAUAGGAAAGCUCUGCACCUCACAUGGGUGUUGUUUCUACGAUGGAACUUUCGGUAAUGGGACAUGCCCAACAUUCACAUACUGAAUGGUUACAGAGAGCCGGAGGGUUCACUCGGGUAAACUAUUCCACAGAAAAACAGUCAGGACAAAUUUUAAGCUGUUCUGGGAGACAAUUUAAACUAUUCUUUCAUUGAUCCUUUUAUUUGCUUGAAGCAACCAUCUCAGCCCUAACUGGCAUUUGAUCCGCUAGCCUGUUGAAGCCAGACCAGAAGAGUUCUAGCAAUACCAUUACCUUAGACCCUGUACUAUGCAGGUCAUCAACUGUUAAAAAACAAGAAGCACGUUUGUGCGGAUUGUGUAUAGCACACGACACCUAAUACCCUAUCGGUCUGGGCUGUAUGGACGACUGACAGCGUGAGUAGGGUAUUCCUUGCCGACAGGAGUUAGUGUUUUCCCCGCGUGUAUACAAGGUCGAGUUCCCCUGUGUUAUCCGGUAUGCGUGUUUUUAGCGCAGGUAUACGAGGAAACUACCCACUACUCGAAUGCACACUACACAGAAAAGUGCACAGAGGCGUGUCGCACAGCCCAAAAGGCACAAUCGUCAACUCAUAGGGGUGCUGGCGUGAAAUUCCUUGUUUAUUAUCAUUCUAAUCUGUUAACCUGAGAUACAUAUUGGACUAUGUUAGAGGCGACGAGAGACACUAUUGCCACUUUGCACUAACACACGUCCUCUCUGCCCAGUGCUACAUGGAUUACGCCGACUUAAGGCAGACCACCUGGCGCAGGGCGUGCUGUUCCAGGAUCCGCACUUCAAACCUAAUAACAAUUCCAUCUACUUGGACGGUGCUCCGAGGUCAAUUCGGUACGGCCGGGGACAAAUCGUCUGGAGGCGGCCUCAUGACAUAUUUCCUCAGCUGGCUCCGAAAUUCCUAAUUGAUGGUUACUCUCGCUCAGACCUUAUCCAAGGGGCCAUAGGAAACUGUUGGUUUGUGGCCGCUGCUGCCACUCUCGUCACCAUCAACCGGACGGCAGUUUAACAGAGUGGUUCCUCUUGACCAAUCGUUUUCGUCAGG